UUUCCUCCGCCAGUUUCUCAGUUCGUCUUUUCCAAUUCGAGUUCAUUCAUAAAACCUCCGUUACUGUGAUCCACUUAUAAUCAAUCAAUUGUCUUCUUUACUUCCGUAUUUAUUUAUGCGUUUCACCUCGCUAUCUAUCUACUUCUAUAUAAACCGGUUCCUCGAAGCUUGCUGCCAUUCGAUUGAGCAAAGAGAUUCAGGUUUCGUUCUUUGGAAAAUUUUGAUGCUGAUUGCGAUAACAGAGAAAUCUGUGAUGGUGCUAAGUGGCUCACGGGGAUUCUGUUACACAUUGGAAUUGAAAAAUGAGCAAGAAGCAAAACAAAUGAAGAAGAAGAAGAUUAGAACUCACUUUCAUGCUAUUUUGUUAACUGGCGGUUGUUGAGUAAUGACUGGAAACCGUUUCAUGGAUAGAGGCGUGAGCAAGGUAACUUUGGCUAACUGUUUGCGUUGGAGUUGAAAACCCAAUAGCUUCUGCAACCCUAGCUGGUGAUUUAGGAAUUGGGGCUGAACAGCUUCUGCUGAUGUGAAAAGAUCACACCUUGCUUCUCUGCAGUAAUGUAGAAGGUACGUUCUCUGGUCUCUUUGUUGGCUUUUCUGUAUUUUAUCAUUUUGGUCUGCACUAUUGUUUUUGUUUGUGGAAGAUUCAGGGUAAAUGAUGAUGAUUUGCUGAAGAUCAAGAACACUUAUCGUCCUAUCCUCUCAAGAAAGAGAAAGGGUUUAUGGUAUGUAUAUAAAGUCAAUAAUAUUGUUACAAUUCAAAAGCAAAUAUAAAGUCAUUGUUUAUAAUUUGAUCAAAAUCGUCAUGUUUCAUUAUGAUAAUAGAAAAGGUAGGUAAUUUCCUUUUGUUUACCUUUUAAUCAUUCUUGCAUAUUAUUGAGCUUUUCGAAUAACU